UACGGGGGGGGCAAGCGUUGUUCGGAAUUACUGGGCGUAAAGGGCUCGUAGGCGGCCCACUAAGUCGGACGUGAAAUCCCCAGGCUCAACCUGGGAACUGCGUCCGAUACUGGAUGGCUUGAAUCCGGGAGAGGGAUGCAGAAUUCCAGGUGUAGCGGUGAAAUGCGUAGAUAUCUGGAGGAAUACCGGUGGCGAAGGCGGCAUCCUGGACCGGCAUUGACGCUGAGGAGCGAAAGCCAGGGGAGCAAACGGG
rnacentral:rRNA from 1 species